CUCCGGCGCUAGGCGCGCCGGACCGCGGGGGGAGGGAGUCCCGUGGCGGGAUUUGGGGGGAGGAAGUCCCGUUUCGUGAGUGUUUCUUCGUUUCUUUAAGAGCUACCAGAAAACAGCCCACCCCCACCCCAUAAAAAAAAAAAAAUAAGCGAGUGGGGAAGAGCCAGCCCCACGCCGGUCCGCCUCCCGCCCGCGGCCCGGCCUCCCUCCCGCUCGCCGCCUGGCUCGGCGCUCCUGCGCCCCGAGUUCUCCAUCCCCUGGAUCGCGGGCUCGCGGGGGCGCGGAGAAGAGGACCGAGGAAAGGAUUCUCUGGAAGCUGCGGGAUCCCUCAGGAAAUGGUGGUUGACAGAGCUGGACAAAUGGACGCGGCACAGUCCCCGCCCUCAAGGAGACUAGAGACGGGUCAGGGAGACGGAUGCGCACACAACUUCGGAGCCUUCACCGGGACUCCUGGGGACGUCAGCUGUGACACUCACCAGGCGUCAUGGCAGUUUCCUGCACGGGGGCUUCUGCAUAAUCUCUGCCACGUCCCGGACUUGGCUCUGUGCCGCCGUGGCAGAACUGGCCAGGAGCAAGAAGUUGGGACUGAGCCCCGGUUUCCCAUGGGGACCUGGAACCAGUGAAGCUUAUAGGAGAAGGAGGGCUGGAUGACAGAGGAACCAGUCAAGGUGUGUGUGGAAAACCACCUGAGCCGCAGGGUGAACCAGGUGAGCGGGUUUGCUUCUGAAGGACUGAACCCUGGUGGGCCUUCUGCAGAAUGGCGACACUGUGGGGAUGGCCCCAGGACAGCAAAACAUGAUCCCAGCAGCCAGAGUGCUCCCCCCCCCAACCCCCGCCCCCGGGGAACUGAAGUCAGGAGCCAGGGUGACAAGGGACAAGCAUGAACCUGGGCUUUAUAUCCAAAUAUUUUAGAAGGUUUGGUAGGACAAAUCAAGGCCAAGGUGAGGCUAUGAAUGAACCCUAUUUCCUAUUCCACAUAGAUUUUCUUUCAUUUAUUUUUGGUUUUCAUUCAGGUAUUUUGCUGGUUUGUUUACUUUCAGGGAAGCCACGGUUUCCCAGCAGGGUUCACGGGACCCUCGAAGGAUGAGGAUUUCUAAAGAAAGGUCCUACAUUUCUCAUCUAGGGGCUUCCCACUUCUGAAAGUAUGACCCGCUCUUAAAAGAGCACAUUUUAUAGCAGGAUCUGGGACACAUGGACACGCACAUCACUGAAACAAGGGUUUCAAAAGCCAAAACUUGCCCAGAAUAGAGGUGGAACAGUCUCAGCAUCAUGGUGCUCAGAGAGUGGUCCCGGACCAGCAGCAGGUGUCGCCCGGGAUCUUGUUGGAGAGGCGGACUCCCAGGCCCCACCCCACAUAUGCUCUAUGGGGGGGUCUUGGAACGUUACCAAGACUUCCAUGUGAUUCUGAUACAUUCUAAAGCUUGAGAACCACUGCAUUGUCAUAUAAUAUACUAUGCUAUUCUAAUCUAUUAAUGAAAAACACCUUUAUUUUUUAA